GAUGAACGCUGGCGGCGUGCCUAAUACAUGCAAGUCGAGCGAACAGACGAGGAGCUUGCUCCUCUGACGUUAGCGGCGGACGGGUGAGUAACACGUGGAUAACCUACCUAUAAGACUGGGAUAACUUCGGGAAACCGGAGCUAAUACCGGAUAACAUGUUGAACCGCAUGGUUCAACAGUGAAAGACGGUCUUGCUGUCACUUAUAGAUGGAUCCGCGCCGCAUUAGCUAGUUGGUAAGGUAACGGCUUACCAAGGCAACGAUGCGUAGCCGACCUGAGAGGGUGAUCGGCCACACUGGAACUGAGACACGGUCCAGACUCCUACGGGAGGCAGCAGUAGGGAAUCUUCCGCAAUGGGCGAAAGCCUGACGGAGCAACGCCGCGUGAGUGAAGAAGGUCUUCGGAUCGUAAAACUCUGUUAUUAGGGAAGAACAAAUUUGUAAGUAACUAUGCACGUCUUGACGGUACCUAAUCAGAAAGCCACGGCUAACUACGUG
rnacentral:rRNA from 1 species